rnacentral:misc_RNA from 1 species
AAUAAACUGUGAAACUGAUGCAUCUUUUUGCAAGGGUCUUGGCAUAUAUCCACGCAAUGUGCCAAGAUUGUUUGUGUAUUCAUUAAAAUCAAGUGGGGAUGGUGCGUUGAUGGAGUACAGUGAUGAUUUAGAUGUGAAGAGGGUGAAAAGUUUUUGCCAUGAUCAUCUUCCUAGAUUCUCAAAGCGUGUAGAUUUGGACCACUUUGAUUUUGUUUCCCAGUCUGUAGGAGGUUUACCCAAAGUGAUGCUUCUCUCAGCAAAGAAAGAUACUCCAGUUAUUUGGCGUGCUCUUAGUGGAUUGUAUCGAAACCGUUUUGUCUUCUAUGAUGCACAGGUUCGUGAUUCUUCUGAUCCUGCUCUACGAAGGUUGGGUGUUGAUGCUCUUCCUGCCAUUGUUGGCUGGCUAUCCAAUGGGGAGAAACAGAUUUUAAGCACAGGAAUCUCUGUAAAAGAUCUUAAGUCGGCAAUUCAAGAUCUAAGUGGUUUACUGGACAAUUUUGAAAGAAAAAAUAAGAAGGCAGCUUCAACACAGAGUAAAAGUGAGCAGAGUGAGUCAGAGGCUAAGCAAGUACCGGUACUGACAGGCUCUAAUUUCAAUGACAUUUGUGGGGAGAAAACUCCUGUUUGUGUGAUUGGUGUUUUCAGGUCAUCUAAAGCAAAAGAUAAACUAGAAAAAGUUCUAUUAUCGGUCUCUCAAAAGUCAUUAUCAAGACGACAAAAUACACCCUAUGGCUCGAGAGAUUCAGUUUCCUAUGCAGUUUUAGAUGCAGUGAGGCAGCAGUCUUUCUUGAAUGCAUUUGACAAAUCAGGAUAUAAAUCAUCAGACAAGGUCCUUCUUGCAUACAAGCCGCGAAAAGGUAAGUUUGCAGUUUAUGAGGGAGAAAUUACUGCUGAAAAUGCAGAGAGUUUCAUUAGCUCCGUUCUCAGUGGGGACGUACAAUUUUCCAACACCAGACAGAAACCUGUAGCAAAGUAAAAAAUUAGGAACCAACUUUAGUGGAAAUGAACAACACUGAGAUCUGGAAAAAAUGUACAGCCAGUGCUUCAAGGUUGCCCCUUUAUUAAUAGUUCAUGUAGCCCAUCGUCAUG